GACGAACGCUGGCGGCGUGCUUAACACAUGCAAGUCGAACGCUGAAGCUUGGUGCUUGCACUGGGUGGAUGAGUGGCGAACGGGUGAGUAAUACGUGAGUAACCUGCCCUUGACUCUGGGAUAAGCCUGGGAAACUGGGUCUAAUACUGGAUACGACAUGUCACCGCAUGGUGGUGUGUGGAAAGGGUUUUACUGGUUUUGGAUGGGCUCACGGCCUAUCAGCUUGUUGGUGGGGUAAUGGCUCACCAAGGCGACGACGGGUAGCCGGCCUGAGAGGGUGACCGGCCACACUGGGACUGAGACACGGCCCAGACUCCUACGGGAGGCAGCAGUGGGGAACAUUGCACAAUGGGCGGAAGCCUGAUGCAGCGACGCCGCGUGAGGGAUGACGGCCUUCGGGUUGUAAACCUCUUUCAGCACGGAAGAAGCGAAAGUGACGGUACGUGCAGAAGAAGCGCCGGCUAACUACGUG
rnacentral:rRNA from 1 species